rnacentral:tRNA from 1 species
GCUUUCAUAGCUCAGUUGGUCAGAGCACCCGUUUAGUAAGCGGGAGGUCCCGAGUUCAACUCUCGGUGAAAGCA